CAGCCUCAUUCACCUCACAGAAUGUUUGUUGUGGGGGAGGAAGGGAAAGGAGAUUGUUAGCCACUUUGAGACUCCUUAGGGUAGUGAUAAAGUGGGAUAUCAAAUCCAAACUCUUUUUCAUCAUCACUAAGCUCUACUGUGGUCCAAUUUAAAUUAGGGCAAUUAUUUCUAAAAUGUACUAAAUUAUCCCAUGCAGUUUUUAUGCGGAUCUGUGCUCUUGUUCCCCCCCCCCCAUGAUACAUUUCCUCUUUUGUGUGUGAUGUCACUACCAUACCCUUAGCUCAGUUCAUUUAACCUUAGCGGAUAAACUGCUGGCAGAGGAAAAAAUGACUAAUCUAUCCAUCUUGGAAGUGUAUGUUUUGUGUGCGUGAGAAAGAGAGAAUGAGGGAGGGAGGCUGAGAAAGAGAGAGGCUUGAUAUCCCAGUUUAUUUUGCUUUUAUCACACUUUCUGCAGAACACAGCGGGAAUAGACCUCCCCCGGAACAUCACAACAAAAGCCAAGAGAAGCUUGUAAGAAGUGAGGUCACAGCAAAUGUGACAUAUAUAUUGAAUACUGAAUGCACCGGGAACCCUGUGAGUUAUCCUUUCUAUCUCUCCCUGUAUUUGGUGCCUGGUUACUUGUUUACAAAAUACCAUUGCUGUUUAAUUUUUUUAAGGCACUCCAACAAGAGCAUUCCACUUACAUUGUACAUCAGGAGUAAGGAACUCCAGCUGACAGCAGGGUUUUGCCAGGUCCUCUGGGUCCUCUCCUGCCCAUCAGCUGCUUAGCAGGGAGCGGAUGAGAGGCAGCAGGACUUUGAUGUUGUGCAAAGGAUGCAGCAGCAGCUAUUCCAUCUGCAAGAAGAUCUGCUGCCAGAUCAUCAAAGCACGGGGGGGGGGGGAGCGUGCAUCUGGGAGGUUCAAAAAGAUGCAAAAAGUCACCCCUGCAUUUCGCAGCUACGCAUGUGCAAUUUUCGGGAUUCUGUUGCAGAUGGAAGUUGAGGCUUUGAAUACUUGUGAGGGAGGGCUUGCAGUUCAGGUGCACAUGGGCACUGUUGAGUUCUUUCCUUUUACACAGGCAGUUACUUCUCCCAGCACAUGGAAACACAGCACAUGAAUGCUUCUCCCUGCAUAUAGAAAUAUAGGCUAGGCAACUCUCUAACAAGCUAGCUUUCUAUGUGGAAGGAAUUUUUCCAAGCAGAUUUCAAUAACUCCCCACGGAAAAAGGACUCAGGGACACUGUCUUGAAAGUAUGAAGCAACACAGUUAAGUCACAGGAUUACCUCUCCAUGAGAAUUAGCAUGGCAAGUUGCAGGUUUGAGGAGAUCAUCAAUGAAGUGUCACCUGGUGAUUCCAAUCCUAUAUCUCUGGCCCCUUCCAAUAUAAUAUCCCCCCCCCCAAAAAAAGGAAGAGGGGGGGAAAGGACAGAGCUACUGCACCUUUAAUAGUAAUGUAGAAGAGGGAAUUUCAGCAGGUAUAAUUUCUCACUAUUAAAGGUAUAAUAGGAGCACUGCCCUUUUUUUCCAUCUACCCUUCCAGUGGUGGUAGUGGUAAGUAGUGGUAGUUGCUCCAAUAAGUAUCAGGAAGCCAGGAGACACCGUUUUUAUUUUCCCACAAUGCCUCCCACAAUGUCUCAGAGGCACCAUGGGAAAUUGAAAUGGUGACCUUUAGUCUGAGCUAGCCACUGCUGAUUAGAGGACAAGAUCUUUUUAGGGGUGGGACUAGGUGUCAAGAAAUUGACAAAAGAUCUUGAUUGCCAUCAGUAGUAAUGAUCAUCAUGCAAAUUUGGUCUCAGUUCUCACUGGGAGGGUUUGACUAAUUUGCUGUGUGUGGAGUAGUGGUUAGGCGCAUUGGCCAUGAGCCAGAAAGUUGCCAGCUCACCGAGGAACUCAUUAAAAACUCAUUAAGAAAGCUGUUAUUGGCACAACCUCCUAGUUGUCAGGCCAUAUGACUGUACCUCAGCCUGUAACCAAGUCUAAGCAUAUGCACCCCAAACAAUCAUAGAUUGCUUCCCAGUCGCAUUUUUACCCCACCUAUUCCCUUCUCCUUCCUCUGUUCCCUGCUCCCUCCCUGUGCCAAGGUUUAUAUUAUAAGUUGCUUGGGGCUGCUUUCUUCUUGUACUCUGUAACACAGGGCCUGGGGACCUGUUCCAGUCCAAAGGCCACCUUCCCUUCUGGGGGCCAUGUUCCAGUGGAGGGUGGAGCCACAGGCAAAACUGGGCGGAGCAAGGAAUGCAAUUUUUGCCUUUGUAUGCUAGGCUGCUGUCUAUGCACAGCUGCACAUCUUUCUCUAUCCUCCACCCAAAGAACCAAGAGGUAUUGUUGGAAGUGAAGGAUAGGCUAUUGCCAGGACACAACUUUGGCUGAGCCCUAGAAGAACUCCUGUAGCUGACAAACAAUCACAGUGCAAGACCAGUCCUAGCAUUGGGCAGAGUGAGGUAUCUACCACAGGCAGCAAAUGCUGAGGGGAAGGGUGCACAGAGAAGGAGCUGAAGCACAGAGCUAUGUGUGCCAUGUGGUGUAUCCUCAAAGCUGGGCUGCCCCCUGCAUGUGCUGUAGAGGACAUUGCCCCAUUUGCAACAAUGAGAUAAGGCUAAACUGCCCAUCUAGUUGUUCUUUGUAUAUGGAGCAUGGAGAGCCGUCCCCUCAUUCCCAGGAAGCAGAAUGUCCUGGGGCCAUCCCUGUCUGCAAGAAUUACUCCAGAUGGAAGUAGUAACUAGCGUUACUAAUGUUACUAUUGUGCUGCCAAAGCUUCCUGUUACGGAGGUUUCUUUGUUUUGAUGGUAAAGGUAAAGGGACCCCUGACCAUUAGGUCUAAUUGCGGAUUACUCUGGGGUUGCGGCACUCAUUUCGCUUUAUUGGCCGAGGGAACUGGCAUACAGCUUCCGGGUCAUGUGGCCAGCAUGACUAAGCCACUUCUGGUGAACCAGAGCAGCGCACAGAAACGCCGUUUACCUUCCUGCUGGAGAGGUACCUAUUUAUCUACUUGCACUUGGCUGCUUUCGAACUGCUUUCCUCCUAUAUACAUAAAAAUGUAAGGCUGUCAUCACCCUGCAGUUUGUAUGGCUGUUGAUAGGCAGCCAUGCCAACUCUAGUAUGAUAAAUGGCAGGCAAGCAAAUAAGCAAGGGUGCUGUUUAAAAGAGAGGGAAAUGCUGUUUCGCCAAUGGCAUUAAUAUGAAGAAAGGUUGCAGUGUUUGAGACUUUUUUAGUUUAGACAAAAGGUGAGUAAGAGGCAAUAGGAUAGGUAUCUAUAAGAUUAUGCAUAGCAUGGAGAAAGUGGAUUGAGAUGUUUUUUUCUCCUCUUAUAACACAAGAACUCACGGACAUUAAUGAAGCUGAAUGUUGGAAGAUUUAGGACUAAUGAAAUAUAGUCCUUCUUCACACAGCACAUAGUUAAACUGUGGAACUCGCUCCCCCAGUGAUGGUCACCAACUCGGAUGGCUUUAAAAGAGGAUCGGAGAAAUUCAUGGAGGAGGAGAGGGCUGCCAGUGACUCCUAGUUGUUUGAAACCAUGGGAGUGUUGGGAUCACAGAAUGCUGUGUGAGAUAGUAAGUCUGUAGGCUUGAGUUUGCUAGCUGAUGCAACUGGCUGAUGCCAUCAGCCUGCAAUACUUUGUAUGGAAGUGCUGGGUCAGAAUGACUCAGCAGUAAUGUGCUGUCAGUUGAUUGGCUGUCAUCGGUUUAAAAGGGAAACCUAUCCAGCAGUAAGGGGGUGGUGUAGAGGAGUGUGGCCAGAGAGAGAGAGUUAGAGGUCUUCCUAUUUGCCUUAAGGUGCAGCCAGGUGCUCUGUUUGACUGUAUGAACUGUUCGUGUAUUAUAGCUUGUAGAGAGCCAGUGUGGGGUAGUGGUUAAGAGCAGUAGACUCGUAAUCUGGUGAACCGGGUUCGCUUCCCCGCUCCUCCACAUGCAGCUGCUGGGUGACCUUGGGCUAGUCACACUUCUGAGAAGUCUGAGAGACUCACUUACCUCACAGAGUGUUUGUUGUGAGGGAGGAAGGGAAAGGAGAUGGUUAGCUGCUUUGAGACUCCUUAGAGUAGUGAUAAAGCGGGAUAUCAAAUCCACACUCUUUUUCUCUUCUAUAUAGCUCACAAUAAAUAUACUGCACUGAAGAACCUGGAGCUCUGAGCAUUUCUGCUAAAGCGCCGCGAAGAAUUCGCGACAGGGAAGGGAGAGGGCUUUUGUGCUUCUUCUCCUUGGUUUCUCACAGGCAUCUGCUUGGCUACUGUGAGAACAGGAUGCUGGACUAAAUGGGCCAUUGGUCUGAUCCAGCUGACGGUUGUGAUGCUCUACUGUUUUUAAAUGAGUUUUCGGUCACUUGGAGACCUUUGGUAACAAGUAACUAACAGAUCCUGAAGCUGAGGCUCCAAUACUUUGGCCACCUCAUGAGAAGAGAAGACAGCCUGGAAAAGACCCUGAUGUUGGGAAAGAUGGAGGGCACAAGGAGAAGGGGACGACAGAGGAUGAGAUGGUUGGACAGUGUUCUUGAAGGUACCAGCAUGAGUUUGACCAAACUGCAGGAGGCAGUGGAAGACAGGAGCAGUGGCGUAGCGUGGGUUGUCAGCACCCGGGGCAAGGCAAGUAAUUUGCGCCCCCUAACCCAUGGAUUUGCGCCCACUAACCCGUAGAUUUGCGCCCCCUAACCCUAACCCCCAGAUGUUGCGCCCGGUGCGGCCGGCCCCCCUGCACCCCCCACGCUACGCCACUGGACAGGAGUGCCUGACGUGCUCUGGUCCAUGGGGUCACGAAGAGUCGGACACGACUAAACCACUAAACAACCACUAACAACCACAGUAACAAAACGAUACUACUUGUGAGACAUAAAGAAGAGUUGAGUUCUCCCCUCCACAUGCCGUUGGGGGCAUGGGAAAUUUGGAACACCCCUCAUGGAUGGCUGGUGGGUGCAAAACUGCUUUCCCCAUAAAACCUGAAGAUAUAUAAUGGAUUAGUGACCACGUCAGCUAUGCAGUGCUCUGUAAUGCCUUGAUGGAGGGUGGGGGGAAUUAAUCUGGUUGUACCAAGAUUUCAGAAAUAGAGAGGAGAGGAAAAAAACCACUGGAUUCCACUGCGACUAGCAAAACAGCCUUCUAAACAAACAUCAUCAGAGCAACUCAGUCCCCUCAUUAGCACUCUUAACAUCAAAGGCUCUCCUGCAGCAGAAUUAACUAUUUCUUCCAGGAUGUUCAACAAAAGGAGGGAUCCUAAUGAGGUUAGUUAAAGGGGCUGCCCUGUUUCAUUAGCUCUGCUGGGCUAGGUCUGCCAGUGAGGAACUAUCAAGUAGAUUGCUUUUUAAAAAAUUACUCUGUUAAUUGAUAUAAAACAAAAAGGACACAGAUUAGUUGCAUGCAAUUAGCAAAUUAAUUAUUGGCAAUUACAGACUUAAUAACGGAGUCGCUUUGCUGCUGUGCAUUGGAUUCUAUGGCCCACAUUCCUCACAUUUAUGAGCUGGAGAUGUACCUUACACCUAGACAUACAUACAUGCAUUCAUUCACACACACACACACACACACACACACACACACCUAUCAUAAAAAUAAAAUAUUUGGUUUAUAAAUAAAUCUUUAUUCAUUUCUGUUAUGCUGCUUUAGAGGUUGCUAGUAUAGCACUUAUGAGUGCACCUGGUACCCUGUCCUGAAAUUAUCCAAAAGAAUAGGUUGCCCUGUGUGCUGGACUGCAGUGGGGGACGGGCUUCUUUUUAUAAUUCAUUUAAAGCUCACAAUGCUUUAUCGAAUAUGUAAAUAUGCUUAGAGACCCAAAAAGGUUGGUGACACCUGUGCUAUUUGAAUUGGGGAACAUCAGUCCCUUUAAGACAUGUACCCUCAGCUCAACAUUGAUCCUUAAAAAAUCUGAGUGACUUUCCCCCAAAAUAUCUUGAAGAAAACAGGGCUAUGCCAUCAGUCAUUGAUGGCAGCGGUGGAGCAAGCUGAUUGGAUGCCAGGGGUGGUGUGUGUGACCUGCGCCCUGGGGCAGGGGCAGCUGCCCGUGGGGGCGGGGCCAGCUGCCCACAGGGCUGGGCCAGCUGGGGCAGGAUGCUCUGCGGGGUCUCCGAGGAGUCUGCCUGCCUCUUCCCACUCAGCCGCCCUACAGCUGAGGGAGAGGCGGCGGGCGGACCAUUUGGGGCAGUGCAGAGCCUGCGGGCGCCCAAGCCACUGCGCCACUCCCAGGAGAGACGCAUGGCUUGGUCGCGCUUCUGGCCCCGCAGUGAAUGCCGCCUGGCAUUUUGUCACCCGCCCUCAGUGGUGACACCCGGGGCGGACCGCCCCCACUGCCCCCUUCCUCCUCCCCUGAUUGAGGGAGGAACCUUAUUGUGCUGGUCCUGGGGCUAACUGAGAGGCGAGGUCCGAGUCCAGUCCGAGGUCGAUGGUGCGGUAUGGAGGCUGUCCGUCAAAGCUGUGCAGACUGGGAUUCCUCAGGUUCAGCCUCUGAGGCCGAAUCCCAGGCCAUCACACUUACGUUCCCUGGAAGGGCAGAUGAGGGCCAUAGAAUGUUGCAGAAUUCUCUUUCCAAAGUCCAGGAAUGUUUCUCUUCUGCUGGUUGUGCCCUGUGGGCAAUGGGUCCAAAAACAGGGCAUGCCAGGCAUGUCCCUGCAUCCACAGAAUCCAGGGCUGGCUCUGGACGUUUUGACGCUAGAGGACAAACAAACAGAAAACGCCAUACAUUUCUCAUCCAUCUCCUUCUCUGAUGUACACUCGCUGCCAACAUGUAACCACUGUGGACAUCAGUGUGCAAUCCGGCACAGCUGACCAAACUGGUGGAUGUGAGUUAAGUUUUCCAGACUCUUGCGCACAUGCAAAUGCACACACAGACACACAAUUUCUGCUUUCUAAACUCUUGUCCUGUAACACAGAUUUGUCGCCGCUGUUCAUCAACACAAGACAUGGUAAACCCUAUGGAAUAAUCUGCCUCAAGUGUUUAUCAGAAAUAAUAAAGCUAUUAUUUUCUUUGCAUGCAUCCUGAAGUUACAAAGCCUCAGAUGGGAUUAAUAGAAAUUUUAAUUAAGAUAUGGAAAUAAGCUUCUUUCUCUCACAUGUACUGAGAAAGCUGGAAGUUAGUUGUGUGAUUGACAGCCUGCUAAGACCUGCUGGAGAAACCAUUUCUCAAUAUGGAUGGCAUCUCUUAAGGCCGAAUUGCAAAACCGCAAAGAUACCCUGACCUAGAUUCAUUUGUUUAUGAAAUCAUUUCUACCUCAAAUCUUGCACCCAAACUGGAUCUGUGGAAUAUCUUAAUAAAACAGCCCAUUUAAAGAAUAAGAGUGCUGAUUGCUUGUGGUGAAGAGGUCUUGCGAGGGCUCCAUCAUGGGGCCAGAUUGUAGUUGGAGCUAUUGACAAUUUAUUGAACCAGGUGAUGGCUGAAUCUUUGCCAGAUAGGCCUCAGGUACAUAGCUGUCAACUGUCCCUUAUUUGGUGGGAAAGUCCCUUAUCCCAGCGCUGUGUCCCGCUGCUGUCCCUUAUUGAUGAUGUCCCUUAAAUUUCCCGGGUUUCAAAGGAAGCAGAUCCUCUCCCUCCCUCCCUGCCGGCCAGGGAGGAGGGAGACUCCAACUGUGUUGCUUAGCUGCGUUGCUCACCCAAUAAGGAGUCUAAGAAUGACUGGGGGGUGGAGUUUGCAUGCCUUGUGCCGAUCAAAUCGGCUGCGUUGCCUGGGGACUCGCCUUUGCUCAGCGCUUCCCAGUGGAGAAGUGACGGUGGUUUUCCUUGCUGCAUCCCCUUUGCUGGGUAGCUGCGCUGUGGGAACCACCGGUUGAGGCUUCGUUUGGCUGCUGGCUGGGUUUUCUGCCUUUGGCUCAGAGGGGCUCAGAAGUUGAACAUACCAGUGUUCGGAAAAUCCCUUAUUUUGGCUGCUGAUCCCUUAUUUUCGAGGCUGCUGGUCCCUUAUUUUCAAAUCUGUAAGUUGACAGCUAUGCUCAGGUAGUCCCAGGUGCAGUACCCACUGUGGUCCUAACUCCUCACGUUGCAACAUGUCCUGUUUCCUUUUCACCAAGAAAUCGCCAGUGUUGGAACUCUUUGUGCCAGCAGUUCUUAAAGACAGGCUGAUUAAUUUGUCUUGCCUGGAGGAGUGCAAGUAUAUCCUUUCCCAUCAACCCCCCCUCCCAAAAUCCAGCUGAAGAAAACCUGACAUUUACUGCAAGCGCAGGAAAGAGCUGGUGAUUACCACUCCUCAGGCUUUUGUGCAAAAGGACGGGCAGUUUGGUGACAGAAAAUCUGCAAAGCAUUAAACAGAAAUGAUUUUUUAAAAAGGAAUCUCAACCAAAUUAAACUUUCAUGCAAAGCCCAGCAGGAGAUGAGGAAAGAAGAAAUUAAGGUUUGGAUUUAUUUAUUUUUUUCAAAAAAAUUGAAGGACUCCAUUAAAAAAAUGGCCCGGAACAAAAUCUCAAGUUUAUGUGUGAAUGAGAAAGCACUAACCCAAGAUAAGGCAGUUGCAAUAAAUUGUGUGGUUAAGUACCAAUAGCUGACAUUAUCUCUGUUCAAGCAGGAGGGAUUAAUACUGUUUAAUAGCAAUUUAUUAGCACUUACAUAUGCACACAUUUCACUCCCCCGCCCCCCCCCGCCACUGCCCUCUUGAAAUUAAAAAUAUAUAUAUCAUCGCUUCCUAAUCUUUUAACAAGAAGUCAAGAGCUAACUGCAUUCUAAAACAAUUUUAAUCGCUGGAUAUUGUGGUCACACUGUUUGAGUUCAAUUUAAAUAUUUAGCAAACAUGAGAUAAACUAUAUGGGCAGUUUAAACACACACACACACACACACACACACACACACAAAGAGAGAGAGAGAGGGGGGGGACUCUUUACAGUAAAGCUGCAGUAGGAAUCCAUGUAUAUUCUUGCCUUAUGAGAGGUUGAACAGGUAUCCUAACUGCCUGUGGACUAAGAGGAGUUCAUUAACACCUGUUAUCGUGUAUGCUGAGCUUGUACCUGAAGAAUUCACGACACUAGUGUCCAACUGGAUCAGUGCCAAAGAGUGACUCAGAAAAGUCUUGUUGCAAUAGCUCCUCCACUCAACAAGAGGAGCUGUAGCAAGGACUUUUCUAUACUUGGGAAUGGGCUAUUCAGCACCAAAAUUGACUAGCAUGCCUGACAAGGUGGGUGGGGUAUACCGUAUUUUUUGCUCCAUAAGAUGCACUUUUUUCUUCCUAAAAAGUAAGGGGAAAUGUCUGUGCAUCUUAUGGAGCGAAGGCCCCUGGAGCUGAAUUGCCCAGGAGUGAAAAGCAGAUCAUGCUUUUUUUUUUUUUGAAAAAGGGAAGGGGGUGUUGAAAGGAAGCAGUUGAUUGCCAAGUGAUCGGGGAGAGAGAUAAGGGACGCUAGCAAUAAAGGAGGCUGCCUGGGAGUGGGGAGGUAAAAGUCCAUGGAUCCUCAGCCUGCAUCAAAAAAAUUACGCACCCACUGCUGCGUGGGGCCACAAUGGCGCAAAAACGUGGUUACAAAGCACAGAUCCACAUGGAUCCUCAAGAUUUCUGCACUGGGCUACCCCAAACUCACCAUCAAAUCACAUGUUUGUGGCCACAGCAUGAACCACAAAAAUCAUACAUCUACUGUUUCAUUCAGAAUAUUUUUUUUCUUGUUUCCCUCUAAAAACUAGGUGCGUCUUAUGGUCAGGUGCAUCUUAUGGAGCAAAAAAUAUGGUAAAUAUCAAAAUUAUUAUUAUUAUAACAAAACAAGACCAUUAUGAUAGCGUCUCUGACCAGUCUCAUUGAUCAUAUCUCAUCUUAAUAAGCCAAGAUACAGGUCCUUUGAUCCUUUUUGUGCUUAGCCACAGUUAAGACAGGAAGUCUCUAAUUCACUUUAUGCCAAAUUUCCAGCUUGGUUCUGAAGUCUAUAUGCAUUUCUGUUGAAAAUGAACAGGAAGAGGAAGGAAGGAAGUUCUCUUGUGCACAAAAUGUUCUGUUCCUGAGACUCGUAUUUUAAUAUUUGUGCCGACUGGAACAAGACAGAUAUUAAACUAUUUAAAUGUUGUAAAUUAUCGCGAUACACACGCACAUGCGCACACGCAGGUGUAUAUGAGUCUGAUUUCUACGUCUUUUCUUUGGCAGAAUGUUAAAAGCCCAUGGAUGGAUGGGAAGAGGGAAAAUAUCGAUAAAAUAAAUAAAAAUGGAUGGGAAACAUUUAUCUGGCAGCCCGCAAGAUAACACCAUCAGGAGAAGCAGCUGCAUCAAAGGGUGGGGAUGAUGGGGAGGAUAGGAAAACAAGACAUCUCUUUUAUUAGGGGGGGGGAUGAAUGCAAAGCAUAGAUUUGGUAAGAAAAUCAGCUGAGAAUGAAAAGGUGACAAUGAAAUUAAAUAAGUAAACUUGAGCUGUUCGUUAAAAAGGGAGAUAGAACCCAGUGUGUUGAAACUACCUUGCAAAUUGGUGAAGAAGCCAAGCUUUUGACACCAGCUUUGCAGCAUUCAAUACUAACUGAAUUGCAUUUAUUUAUUUUUUAACUCAUUGGUUAAUCAUUCAUGGCGGGUUCCAAUAGACACCCUUGUGGCUCUUGCAUACUGAUAAUCUGGGUGUCAUAUGGAUCUUUUUUUAGGUGUAACAUCCACAAAUAGUUCUGACAUUUUAAUUUACAACAAAGAGUAAUAAUAUAUGUAUUCUAUUUCAACAACCCAACAAAAAUAAUGUAGUAACUGACGUGUGUGCUACUUGCUAUUGAUGUAAUACAGUCAUACCUCGGGUUACAGAUGCUUCAGGUUGUGUUUUUUUCGGGUUACGGACGUGCUGAAACCCGGAAGUACUGGAACGGGUUACUUCUGGGUUUCAGCAGUCGCACAUGUGCAGAAGCACUAAAUCGCGCUUUGCGCAUGUGCAGAAGCGCCGAAUUGCAACCUGCGUGUGCACAGACGCGGCGCUGCAGGUUGUGACUGCUGUGGGUUGCAAACAUGUCUCCCGCAUGGAUCACGUUUGUAACCCAAGCGUCCACUAUACUGUAUGAUUCUCUCAUUACAGUGGAAAAUGGCCGCUAUUAAGCAAUCUAUCAAUUGUCUUCAGAGCUGGAGCAAAUUAUUGCUUAAGGUGAAAUUGGUUUAGUAAGUGAGGGGGACUACUUUAAAUCCUCAGAUUUGGUAUUUGCAUGUGAUAAUACUUUACCAGAUUUUGUGCGCAUGUGAAGACCCAAAGAGUGUUGGCCCAGCCUUCCUAGUCUGAUUGGAAGUAAUACUGCAAUUUUUGUUGGUGAAGAAGGAACUCGGCUUUUGAUUAACAUGUUCAUGUGAAUAAUAAUAAUAAUAUAAUAAUAAUUUAUUAUUUCUACUCCGCCCAUCUGGCUGGGUUUCCCCAGCCACUCUGGGAGGCUUCCAACAAAAGAUUAAAAAUACAUGAAUGGAAAGGACAUGUGUGGGAACGUAUAGGCUGAAAUCCAGUGCCAAUGGAAUCAACACCAUUGGUGGAUCCCAAUUGCUCUCUGUAAGUGGCAGUGCCCUGCUGACUCCAAAUGAAUGGCUAGACGCACUUCAUUGUAGGUUGUCAUGGACUGGCUGGAUGCAGAGAUGGGCUGGGAGGCACCUUGGAUACCAGGAUUGGUUACCCACCUUCCCUUCUGAACAGAGGAGAGAUCCAAUAGCUUCUUUUCUCUGUGGGUGAGCACAGCAGUGGCUGGUGUAGGUGCUCUUUUCCACCUCCUCUCCAAAAAAAUCAUUUUGGAGCUUUUCUUUGAUUUUUUAAAAAUAUUUUUUAAAAAAUACUCCAACUUGCCGUAUGUCCAGCUUUUCCAGUUCAGCAGAAAUCCUCCCUGACGCCAUUUUUAAGAGAUUCCCAGACAUGUCGGGAAACCCUAGACAUAUAGCAGCCCUACCUUUUCCCAUUAAUGGGGCAUGCCUUCACCAUUUGUGCUCCUGUCCCUUCUGCUCAUUUAGAUGUGGCAGCCAUUUUGUGUUGCGCCACACCCAAGGGCAGCCAUUUUGUGAGUGGCGCCUCCAACACUUUCUAAAAUUCCCCAAGAUCCCCAUAGGGCCGAUAAGGUUGGCAACCCUUAAGAGAGAAUAUUAUGAAAAUGAUAUACAGGUGGUACAUGACCCCAGUCAAGCUUGCAAAAAUCUACCAUUUGCCCGAUAACAAAUGUUGGAAAUGUAAAGAAACUGAAGGUACAUUCUUUCACCUUUGGUGGACGUGCCCAAGGAUUAAGGUUUUCUGGGAGAUGAUUUAUAAUGAAUUAAAAAAGGUAUUUAAAUAUACCUUCUUGAAGAAACCAGAGGCCUUUCUCCUGGGCAUAGUCGGCCAAUCGGUGUUAAAGAAGGACAGAACUUUCUUUAUGUAUGCUACAACAGCAGCAAGAAUACUUAUUGCAAAGUAUUGGAAGACACAAGACCUAUCCAUUCUGGAAGAAUGGCAGAUGAAAAUGGUGGACUACAUGGAAUUGGUGGAAAUGACUGUCAGAAUCCGAGACCAGGGAGAAGAGUUGGUGGAAGAAGAUUGGAAGAAAUUUAAAGACUAUUUACAGAAAUAUUGCAAAAUUAAUGAAUGUUAGAAUGAUGUUGGAUUGAAGUUAAGUGGUUUCUAGCUGUAAUGGUAUAAAAGAAUAUGGAAAAGUUGGAUUUUUAACAGGUAAAAAUUUAAUGCUAUAAUAUAUUAAGAUUAAAGAUCAGGAUAAAAUAAGGAGGGAAAGGAAUUGCUGAACUAAUAAAUUGAACUGGAAUACAAAAAAGGGAGGUAUGAGGAGGUCCGGGAAACAAGUAAAUGAAAGAUAAGUGUCAAAAAGAUGGAAUUGUUUUUAACUGUUUUUUUAUUUUUUAUUUUUUAUUUUUCAUUAUGUAAUAUUGUGAAAACUUUAAUAAAUAUUUAUUAAAAAAAAGAGAUAAGGUUGGCAACCCUCCCCAAUUUUAGUCCAGAAUCCUGUUUUCAACAAUUAUCACCCAACAACUCUCACCCAAGUCAACCCUUUCCCAUUGUUUACCUACCAACCUGCCAGCAACUUAUAUUCAGAGCUGUACUACUGGUUGUUCUCAUGGAUAUUAAAACCUUCCCUAUGAAUUUGUGCAAUUCCCCUUUUAAACUAUGGGUAAAUUCAGCAACCGUUGCUUAUUCUUGUUGUGUAUUUCACUUUUAGUCUUUCCUGUGGGGAAGUUUUGCCUCUUGGCUGGCCUCUACCCUUCUAAUUUCUCACUCAUUUGCAGCUGCACAGAAUAACAAGGAACUCCUUACUAUAUAUAACCUAGUAGGGAAGAUGCGAAACUUCUCAGGUUUCAAGGAGGUUUCAGAAGUCUUGCCGAGACAAUUUCAGACCACUUGUGAUUAUUCCUCAGCAGCAACAAAACUCCUGACCAAACUCAAUUACUUCUAUACCUAAGUGACUUGUUAUAAACAAUUAAGUGGGUCAAUGCAUAUGCAAAUACCAGAAGCACAAAUCACCUUUGCUUGGGGGUGGGAAGAAGAUGAAGAUGUUUGAUCUGCACCGAUACUUGUACUUUUUAUUAAAAAGUAACCGCAACAAAAUAUUUUAAAAUACACUGUUGCCUGCCCUCCCAACACAUUUGUUGUUGUUUAGUCAUUUAGUUGUGUCUCACUCUUCGUGACCCCAUGGACCAGAGCACGCCAGGCACUCCUGUCUUCCACUGCCUCCCGCAGGUUGGUCAAACUCAUGCUGGUAGCUUCGAGAACACUGUCCAACCAUCUCGUCCUCUGUCGUCCCCUUCUCCUUGUGCCCUCCAUCUUUCCCAACAUCAGAGUCUUUUCCAGGGAGUCUUCUCUUCUCAUGAGGUGGCCAAAGUACUGGAGCCUCAGCUUCAGGAUCUGUCCUUCCAGUGAGCACUCAGGGCUGAUUUCCUUAAGAAUGGAUAGGUUUGAUCUUCUUGCAGUCUAUGGGACUCUCAAGAGUCUCCUCCAGCACCAUAAUUCAACAGCAUCAAUUCUUCGGCGAUCAGCCUUCUUUAUGGUCCAGCUCUCACUUCCAUACAUCACUACUGGGAAAACCAUAGCUUUUACUAUACAGACCUUUGUUGGCAAGGUAGUGUCUCUGCUUUCCCAACACAUUAAUCUUGUCUAUAUCCCAAUAAAGGACUUGUAAACCUUCUCUCUACCUCUCUCUUUGCUCGCCCAUGCUGAGAUCAGAAAUCCGGUCUGAUUGGAUCCAAAUACCUUGGUGCUGCUCACUUCCAGCAAAAGGGGGAGAGGUGGGAACGAAGCCUGUCACAGAGUAAAUAAUUAGAAUUAUUUCCUUUUUCCUUUUUAAAGCUGCUAGUUCUCAGCUGGCCAACUGAACAUGCGAAUUUGAAGGCAGGGUAUUUAUAUCCUCGACUUCACACUUAACCAUGUGAUUGGCAACCACGAACAAGGGCGAUAAUAAUUACACUGUGAUGUUGAGCCCCGGUACCCUUGAGGUAGAAACGAACGGAAUGAACACAGCUAGGGACUUUGUCGCAGAAACUCCAGGGUUGUAAAUGACAUUCACCUGGCAGAAAAUUGGAAGCGGACUAUGCAACAAUAUGAAGUGGAGAGUCUGGUGGCCAGUGGGAAUGGCAAGGCAAGGGGCUGCCCUCGAUGUAAAAGCCUGAAAUCCCCUUUCCAGGGCUGGAACAGGGAGAUUUCCGUUGCUCUCGAGAAGUCAUUUCAAUUUGUACCUGUGUUCAUAACAGGACAGAGCUUCAGUUUAUAAUCUGAGCAAUAAAGCCGGCUCAUCAGGAACUUCUCGAGGAAACUUGUUAUUACUGAAAAUGACACUCUAAUUGCCUCCAGACAUUUGGCAGGUCUACUGAGUGGAAGAGCCUGAUAAGCUAUUGAGGUAUUAAGGGAUGUAGAAUCAAUUAAUGUAAGGAGAUAAGAAAGUAAUACCCUACCAAGGUAAACUAACUGAAUAGUAUGUGUCAGACAAGUUCACUGUGAACCCAGGAAGUGGUAGACGUUCCCAGUGCUGUCUGCCAGCGUUCUUCCCACACUGCCACACUGGAAAUACAUUGAGCUGGCUGCUUCUUCUGACAUGUCAAGCGGCGUAGGGAUGUUGAUAGAUGUUGGGAGAUGAUAUAUUUGCUAGUUAUUAUUCUUCCUUCCUCACAUUUGGGAGUUCAGCAGAAUGCAUCCCUUUGCAGCUUCAGAGGAAGCUUAGAGAGGCUAGUUUUAGCCUUUUAGUUUAAGUAAUCUAGGAUGGAGGGGACGCAUGACCGACUCUAGGGUUGCGGCGCUCAUUUUGCUUUAUUGGCCGAGGGAGCUGGCAUACAGCUUCCGGGUCAUGUGUCCAACAUGACUAAGCUGCUUCUGGUGAACCAGAGCAGCGCACGAAAACACCGUUUACCUUCCCGCCGGAGCAGUACCUAUUUAUCUACUUGCACUUUGACGUGCUUUCAAACUGCUAGGUUGGCAGGAGCAGGGACUGAGCAACGGGAGCUCACCCCGUCGCGGGGAUUCGAACCGCCGACCUUCUGAUCAGCAAGUCCUAGGUUCUGUGGUUUAACCCAAUGUGCAAAGUCACAAAUUUUGCUGAAUUACACCUUGAAUAUACACCUCCACUUUUCCUUGGUCUUUCAGAUCUAAAACCAGAUUUGUGACCAGCAAAGGCAUGGGUAAACUCCCAGGAAGAUUCCUCUAGCACAGGUAUGUCCAACUUCCAAGAAACUGCAAUCUACUCCCACUUUAACAAAUCUGGCAAUGAUCUACCCAUUGGAUUGACCAAAGUUGUUGAGAUUUUUUGGGGAAGCCAAAGUUGUUGAGCUCCUCCUCCAGGCACAUUCCCUCAUUAUGCAGAGUAUCCAGCACGCAGGGAAGGACGAGAAAAUAUGAGCUACAUUGCAAAGAGUUUUAUUCCUAACUAUGCAGACAGAAAAGAAAAUACAUCUUCUCUCUGUGAGAGCAGAGAGCAACUGGAAAACAAAGGAACAGGAAACCAGUAACAUCACAUCCGUCUCCUGUCUUCCGUGAGACUUCCAAUAGCCUGGCAUCUCUGGAAUGCAGAACAGAGUCUUGUGACUUCAAGUACUGCACCAGUGGCAUAAACAGAAACUAACACUUGGAGGGGGAUCAGGAUCCCACGGUUGACCUGCUGGACAUCCCUGCUUUAGAAACAUGGUAAGACUCUGAUACUUCAUAAGGCAGGACAGGACCAGUACAGCAGACACUCCAUCAUCUCCAUUUUUGACCUUAAAGACCAAGAAAAAACAUCUGUGUAUGGUGCGUAAGUUGUGAGCAAGCACAAUUUGUGACACCACAAAACAACAUUACUUAUAUACAGUGCACAGCUUAGCUUCCAGUUACUCAGUUUUGUGUAGCUCGAGUCAACCUAAACUAUGGUCUUAAAUCCGCAGGGUUUCUCAUAUAUAUAUAUAUAUAUAUAUAUUUGAAUAAUGAUGAUGAUGACUUCUUCAUUUUAAAAAAACAACAACCAAUGUAUCAGCGAUUGUUUGCAACACAGCUGCCCAGUCCUUUGUGUACCAAAUAAAUAAUAGCAAUAAAGCCCCCUUCAUCACUAUCCCCAGCAAACAUGCGCUCCCAUACACAGGUUAGCAUAAUCACAUUCUCUUUUGUUCUCUUCACUUUCUUUGUUCGCUGUGCAGUAAUGAAAAAUGACAGCCAUAUUUAUUGUAACAUUCCUCCAGGAAUGCAAAGAUAAUUACCUACUCUUAGCAAGGAGAUGAGAACAAGGGUGAAUUCUAUCUCCUUCCAACUGUCUGCACCCUAAGACAGGAGCGUGUGUGAAAUGCAAAUAAUUAGACCUGUAGGAGUAAUUAAGGGGUAGGAAAUUGAGCACCGUGGGUUGGUGUGUGUGCAUGAGCAGAAGUUGUUUCGAUGGCGGUGGUUUCUGGUUGUGUAAAAUAAAACCUGGUGGAUGUCUUGUACUAUAAGAGACUGUCAACAACCACCAAGGCCUGGCUGAGUUUUAUGAGGGAACUGUUGGCCUUCUUGAGAGAACCUCCUGCUCAACAAAUGCAAUUGGGUCUCAGUGUGAUGCAGUUGGGGCCGGCUCUUGCAUUAGGCAGAGUGUGCAACAUAACUUAAGCUAAACUGCUUGCUUUUGGUGCCACAGAGCCAGGCAGUGUCAAAGUUAAGCACCGUUCAGACAGUUUCUAGGAGGUGGAGAAUCAUCAUUUGCAGUGGCUGCAGCCAGAAGCAGCUCAUUCAAUGAGGUGAAGCCACAGCAUUCACUUCCUGACAGUGGUGUUGCUGCUGUGCACUGGGAGGGAGUGGUGGGGGUGCCUGAGGCAGGUGGAGGCCGUGGGGCCGUAUCUGUGGAGUCCAUCCAGCACUCUUGCUGGGGCAUCCGCACAGCCCCAUAUCUCAUUAUCUCCAUCCUAGUAAGGGGCACAGUGCAGCUUUGCCCUACCUGAACUGCUUCUGGCAGUAGCUCAUGAUCUUUCUUUUUCCCCAUCCCUCCUGCGCUGCAAAUGGCACCAACAGCUACUUUGUGGGUACCCUGGACACCAGUUUGCAUCCUUCACAAUGCCCUAGACCUAACUGUUACUCAAGAGCCUUUCUAGUUAGCUUCUGUCCGUGGUGGAAUUCCAGGGGGCGCUAUCAUUUCUUUUGUUGUUGUUGUUUACAAGUUCCUUGGUUUCCCAGUCAGGUAAUCACACUCCUUUGUCCUGACUGAGAACCUAAUCCAUUCCUGGGAUGACUGGCUGUCUGGCACCCACCUGCCAGGGAGCCAGUGAUUAUCUCUUGUGCAAGAGGCUGUAGUGAACAUGAUCCCAGGUUUCGUGGAUUAUGGCUGCCUGCAUCCCAGACUCCCCCCCCCCUCUCGUAGCCGUUACUUUCCUGAACAGAACAAAGUUGGAAUGGUGCAAAUCCAUACUGGAAUGAUUUUAUAUGACUUUCUAAAGUUUUCCCAGUGAGCCAUUACAUAGAUACAUUUAUCUAUAUACAUUCUAUAUAUAUCUCUAUAUAUCUAUAUAUAUACAUUCGCAGGGAAGCCAAAAUGCUUGUUUACAAAGCUAUUGUACAUGGACCACUUACAAACACCGUCUCCAACUUCUCGAAAGAUUCCAUCAACAGUGUCUCCGAAAAUCUUACACAUCACUUGGGUAGACAGGUGAACUAAUAUCAGUGUACUGGAUGAAGCAAAUAUCACCAGUAUUGAAGCAAUGAUUCUUCAACAUCAUCUUCGUUGGACUGGUCAUGUUGUGCGGAUGCCUGAUUAUCGUCUUCCAAAGCAGCUACUCUAUUCCGAACUUAAAAAUGGAAAGCGUAAUGCUGGUGGUCAACAAAAGAGGUUUAAAGACUGUCUCAAGACAAAUCUAAAAAAAAAAAAUGUAGUAUAAACAUCGACAACUGGGAAACACUGGCCUGUGAGCACUCCAGUUAGAGAACAGCCUUUACCAAAGGUGUCAUGGACAUUGAAGACGCUCAAACUCAGAACGCAAGGGAGAAACGUGCUAAGAGGAAGACAUUCUUGGCAAAUCUGCACCGUGAUCAACUCCCACCCAGAAACCAAUCUCCCCACUGUGGUAGGACAUGUGGAUCCAGAAUUGGCCUCCACAGUCAUUUACGGACUCAUUGUUAAAACUGUGUUGAUGGAAGGCAAUCUUAGUCAGCUAUGAGUGAUUGCUGAAGAAGAAGAAGACAUUUAUCAGUGAACUGUAAUGUGCAGCAGAGGCGCUUUGAAUAGAGAUAGGAAAAACUGUGAUGAAGUGUUUUGUGGGGACAUUUGCAGAAGUGAUUGUGUUGAUUUUGGUAGUCAGGGUGUGUGUGUAUGGUAUCUGCUGGAGGAGCAACCACCCCCUACAUUCACCGUAUUUUUCACUCUAUAAGACGCACCAGACCACAAGAUGUUUUGGAGGAGGAAAACAAGGG
rnacentral:lncRNA from 1 species